UAUGAGUCGACUAGAAGAAAUAUUGGGCAACAGGCUGAUCUGUGGUCGGCCGGCAUCAAGAAUAAAGGGAGACUGAAAUGGCCGAUCGACCACGUCCGAGAGAUUCUGAGGUAAGUUAAUUUUAAUAGGAGUUUAACAGUUUUUGGGUCCUGAUUAAAGUGUUAUUGGACUUUGAUUAGAAGAGCCUUAACCUCGGGUCCAAAACGGACAUUAUAUACAGAUAUCAACAGUAAGAGGUAAGUGACUUGAAUUGAAUUGCAUUUAAUACUAAGAACCGAGUAACCGAACGGACUUAAUUCUAACUUGAACGUCGGAGUAUCUUUGGCAGGUAGCCGACCGACCGUUACUGGAGGAAAAACGCUAGAGACGGACGGACUGAAGGUUGGAAAGAAGGCAUAGGUGACCAGACGGCUUGCAGGAUUGAGAAGUAAAUGUGUAGGUGAGUGUGACCGGAUCCACGACCAAAACAAUUAUAUAUUUUUUAAUUUUUCUAAAAAAGCAUUAAAUUAAGAUAAAAUAUUUAUAUAUGAAAACAUGUUUUCUUGUUUCUAUGUUGAUAAAUUUCAAAGGAGAGCCACCGUCCACCACCUCCACGGUCAUUCUCAUCUCACACAACCGUCAACACCUUAAGAGUUAAAGCCUUGGACACGUGUAUGAUUCUGAGC
rnacentral:lncRNA from 1 species